CCUACGGGUGGCAGCAGUGGGGAAUAUUGCACAAUGGGGGAAACCCUGAUGCAGCGACGCCGCGUGAGUGAAGAAGUAAUUCGUUAUGUAAAGCUCUAUCAGCAGGGAAGAAAAUGACGGUACCUGAGUAAGAAGCCCCGGCUAACUACGUGCCAGCAGCCGCGGUAAUACGGAGGGGGCAAGCGUUAUCCGGAUGUACUGGGUGGAAAGGGAGCGUAGACGGCAGUGCAAGUCUGGAGUGAAAGGCCGGGGCUCAACCCCCGGACUGCUCUGGAAACUGUACGGCUGGAGUGCAGGAGAGGUAAGUGGAAUUCCUAGUGGAGCGGUGAAAUGCGUAGAGAUUAGGAGGAACACCAGUGGCGAAGGCGGCUUACUGGACUGUAACUGACGUUGAGGCUCGAAAGCGUGGGGAGCAAACAGGAUUAGAUACCCCAGUAGUC
rnacentral:rRNA from 1 species